AUGAACGCUAGCUACAGGCUUAACACAUGCAAGUCGAGGGGCAGCAUGGUCUUAGCUUGCUAAGGCCGAUGGCGACCGGCGCACGGGUGAGUAACACGUAUCCAACCUGCCGUCUACUCUUGGACAGCCUUCUGAAAGGAAGAUUAAUACAAGAUGGCAUCAUGAGUCCGCAUGUUCACAUGAUUAAAGGUAUUCCGGUAGACGAUGGGGAUGCGUUCCAUUAGAUAGUAGGCGGGGUAACGGCCCACCUAGUCUUCGAUGGAUAGGGGUUCUGAGAGGAAGGUCCCCCACAUUGGAACUGAGACACGGUCCAAACUCCUACGGGAGGCAGCAGUGAGGAAUAUUGGUCAAUGGGCGAGAGCCUGAACCAGCCAAGUAGCGUGAAGGAUGACUGCCCUAUGGGUUGUAAACUUCUUUUAUAAAGGAAUAAAGUCGGGUAUGCAUACCCGUUUGCAUGUACUUUAUGAAUAAGGAUCGGCUAACUCCGUGCCAGCAGCCGCGGUAAUACGGAGGAUCCGAGCGUUAUCCGGAUUUAUUGGGUUUAAAGGGAGCGUAGAUGGAUGUUUAAGUCAGUUGUGAAAGUUUGCGGCUCAACCGUAAAAUUGCAGUUGAUACUGGAUAUCUUGAGUGCAGUUGAGGCAGGCGGAAUUCGUGGUGUAGCGGUGAAAUGCUUAGAUAUCACGAAGAACUCCGAUUGCGAAGGCAGCCUGCUAAGCUGCAACUGACAUUGAGGCUCGAAAGUGUGGGUAUCAAACAGGAUUAGAUACCCUGGUAGUCCACACGGUAAACGAUGAAUACUCGCUGUUUGCGAUAUACUGCAAGCGGCCAAGCGAAAGCGUUAAGUAUUCCACCUGGGGAGUACGCCGGCAACGGUGAAACUCAAAGGAAUUGACGGGGGCCCGCACAAGCGGAGGAACAUGUGGUUUAAUUCGAUGAUACGCGAGGAACCUUACCCGGGCUUAAAUUGCAGAUGAAUUACGGUGAAAGCCGUAAGCCGCAAGGCAUCUGUGAAGGUGCUGCAUGGUUGUCGUCAGCUCGUGCCGUGAGGUGUCGGCUUAAGUGCCAUAACGAGCGCAACCCUUGUUGUCAGUUACUAACAGGUUCUGCUGAGGACUCUGACAAGACUGCCAUCGUAAGAUGUGAGGAAGGUGGGGAUGACGUCAAAUCAGCACGGCCCUUACGUCCGGGGCUACACAUGUGUUACAAUGGGGGGUACAGAGGGCCGCUACCACGCGAGUGGAUGCCAAUCCCAAAAACCUCUCUCAGUUCGGACUGGAGUCUGCAACCCGACUCCACGAAGCUGGAUUCGCUAGUAAUCGCGCAUCAGCCACGGCGCGGUGAAUACGUUCCCGGGCCUUGUACACACCGCCCGUCAAGCCAUGGGAGCCGGGGGUACCUGAAGUGCGUAACCGCGAGGAGCGCCCUAGGGUAAAACUGGUGACUGGGGCU
rnacentral:rRNA from 1 species